AACGAACGCUAGCGGCAGGCUUAAUACAUGCAAGUCGAGGGGUAGCAAGAUUGUAGCAAUACAAUUGUUGACGACCGGCAAACGGGUGCGGAACACGUACACAACCUUCCUACAAGUGGGGAAUAGCCCAGAGAAAUUUGGAUUAAUCCCCCGUAACAUAGCGAUGUGGCAUCACAUUGCUAUUAUAGCUUCGGCGCUUGUUGAUGGGUGUGCGGCUGAUUAGAUAGGUGGCGGGGUAACGGCCCACCAAGUCUACGAUCAGUAGCUGAUGUGAGAGCAUGAUCAGCCACACGGGCACUGAGACACGGGCCCGACUCCUACGGGAGGCAGCAGUAAGGAAUAUUGGACAAUGGACGCAAGUCUGAUCCAGCCAUGCCGCGUGAAGGAUUAAGGUCCUCUGGAUUGUAAACUUCUUUUAUAAGGGACGAAAAAAGGUCUUUCUAGAUCGUCUGACGGUACCUUAUGAAUAAGCACCGGCUAACUCCGUGCCAGCCGCCGCAGUAA
rnacentral:rRNA from 1 species